rnacentral:rRNA from 1 species
CCCUUAGAUGUCCUGGGCCGCACGCGCGCUACACUGAUGCAUUCAACGAGUAUUUCCUUGGCCGAGAGGCCUGGGCAAUCUUGUUAACGUGCAUCGUGAUAGGGAUAGAUUAUUGAAAUUAUUAAUCUUGAACGAGGAAUUCCUAGUAAACGCAGAUCAUCAAUCUGCAUUGAUUACGUCCCUGCCCUUUGUACACACCGCCCGUCGCACCUACCGAUUGGAUGGUCCGGUGAAGCCUCGGGAUUGUGGUUCUUGCCGCUUUAUUGUGGCGUGACCGCGAGAACUUGUCUAAACCUUAUCAUCUAGAGGAAGGUGAAGUCGUAACA